UAAGAUAGAGGCGCAGGGCUUAAAAGUAGCUCUCGUUCACAACCCGUCGAAGGGGAACGAGAAAGAAAGGAAGUCUUGCCGAAACCGUUGCGUGUUCGCACCUCGCAACAGGUUGGGCGUCGGUAAAACAUAUCGACGACUGUCGCUUUUUUUAGCGGAGAGCUAUCGUG
rnacentral:ncRNA from 1 species